GAUGAACGCUGGCGGCGUGCCUAAUACAUGCAAGUCGAGCGCCCCUUUGUUUGAGAAUCACUAGUUGGUUAGCAAACAUGGGGAGCGGCGGACGGGUGAGUAACGCGUAGGAAUGUACCCCGGACUGAGGGAUAAGCCAGAGAAAUCUGGUCUAAUACCGCAUACGGUCUACGGAUUAAAGCUUCGGCGGUCCGGGAACAGCCUGCGUCCGAUUAGCUAGUUGGUAAGGUAAAGGCUUACCAAGGCUAUGAUCGGUAGCUGGUCUGAGAGGAUGAUCAGCCACACUGGAACUGAGACACGGUCCAGACUCCUACGGGAGGCAGCAGUAGGGAAUCUUCCACAAUGGACGAAAGUCUGAUGGAGCAACGCCGCGUGCAGGAUGAAUGCCUUCGGGUUGUAAACUGCUUUUAUUUGUGAUGAUGAUGACAGUAGCAAAUGAAUAAGGAUCGGCUAAUUCCG
rnacentral:rRNA from 1 species